GAUGAACGCUGGCGGCGCGCCUAACACAUGCAAGUCGAACGAUUAAAGCACCUUCGGGUGUGUAUAAAGUGGCGAACGGCUGAGUAGCACGUGGGCAACCUGCCCCUCUCAUUGGGAUAGCCACGGGAAACCGUGGAUAAUACCGAAUACUUCGGGACUUCCGCAUGGAAGACUCGAGAAAGCUCCGGCGGAGAGGGAUGGGCCCGCGGCCUGUUAGCUUGUUGGUGGGGUAAUGGCCUACCAAGGCAAUGAUGGGUAGCUGGGUUGAGAGACCGACCAGCCAGAUUGGGACUGAGGCACGGCCCAGACUCCUACGGGAGGCAGCAGUGGGGAAUCUUGCACAAUGGGCGAAAGCCUGAUGCAGCGACGCCGCGUGCGGGAUGAAGGCCUUCGGGUUGUAAACCGCUUUCAGCAGGGACGAGGCGAAAGUGACGGUACCUGCAGAAGAAGCCCCGGCUAACUACGUG
rnacentral:rRNA from 1 species